CUCAUGAAAACACUCUACCGCCACGCUACACGGUUUUGCAGUGCCGUCUGCUUUUGCUCUGUGCCUUCUCAGUGUCGUCUGCUCACUGUUCCCGAAGGGCAGGCUACUUGAAAAGCCAAACAAACAUUCAACAGGCGUGACAAAAAAGUGGAUCCCAGUUCUGACAGCCCGUACAUUUCCACAAUUGUUACUGUUCGAAGAGCCCUGUUAUCAAGCCACUCUGCCACUAUUUUUGCCGUUUUUGUCUGUACCGCCUGUUCUUGCUGCGCAGUACUACAGUGCUGUCUGCUUAACCUUCUCAAGUAGCAGACGAGGCGAUCGCGUAGGCGCAUGCCGCGAUCAAAUGCUGUGCCGCCGCAUAUACUUUGAUUUGUUAAGCUAGCCCUAGCGCAACGGUGCACGGUACUAGUGAGAAAGUGCGUGCACUUGCAGGAACUGCCUACGUGCCGAUGGACAGAAUACCACUGCCCUGCUCUUCGACGGAGAGAUAUAGUACCGAGCAACCGAAGAACAUCAGAGCAACCAUGAAACGAAGCUCCAGAGGAUUUUCUGGGACUUCAGGGGCAGCACGGGUGGACGCCGAGGCAGACGUCAAAACGAGGCAGGCCGCAAGUAAACAUAACCAUGGGCAAUAUCUGUAAAACAGACUGCUUUCACUCUUGUCUG